ACCGCCAUAUCACGUUGAAACUCCGGUUCUCGUACGAUCAGUGAAGUUAAGCAAAGUUGAGGCUGAUCACUACAAAGAUGAGUAACCGCUUGAGAAUGACAGGUGCUGUAAG